rnacentral:tRNA from 1 species
GGGAGCAUAGCUCAGCUGGGAGAGCAUCUGCCUUACAAGCAGAGGGUCAUAGGUUCGAGCCCUGUUGCUCCCACCA